rnacentral:rRNA from 1 species
AUGAACGCUGGCGGCGUGCCUAAUACAUGCAAGUCGAACGGAGGUUGCAGCAAUGCUCCUUAGUGGCGACCGGGUGCGUAACACGUAGCUAACCUGCCCUAGCGCGGGGGGACAAACUGUUGGAAACGACAGCUAAUACCGCAUGAUGAGAGGAAAGAACAAAUAUUUUUCUCUAAACUCACGGGGCGCUAGGAGGGGGCUGCGGCCCAUCAGGGUAGUUGGAGAGGUAAGAGCUCACCAAGCCAAUGACGGGUAGGGGGCCUGAGAGGGUGGUCCCCCACACUGGGACUGACAACGGCCCAGACUCCUACGGGAUGGCAGCAGUAAGGGAUAUUGCGCAAUGGGCGAAAGCCUGACGCAGCAACGCCGCGUGGAGGAAGAAGGCCUUCGGGUCGUAAACUUCUUUUAGCAGGGACGAGGAAGGACGGUACCUGCGGAAUCAGUCACGGCUAACUACGUGCCAGCAGCCGCGGUAAAACGUAGGUGGCAAGCGUUAUCCGGAUUUACUGGGCGUAAAGGGUGUGCAGGCGGGGGGAGUAAGUGGUGUAUGAAAUCGCCCGGCUUAACCGGGCGGGGUUAUGCCAGACUGCUCUUCUAGAGGACGAGAGAGGGGGGUGGAAUUCCGGGUGUAGUGGUGAAAUGCGUAGAGAUCCGGAGGAACCCCAGAGGCGAAGGCGGCCCCCUGGCUCGUACCUGACGCUCAGCCACGAAAGCAUGGGGAGCGAACGGGAUUAGAAACCCCGGUAGUCCAUGCCGUAUAACGAUGCCAACUAGGCGCUGACGGUCUCAACCCCGCCGGUUGCCGUAGCAAACGCGAUAAGUUGGCCGCCUGGGGAGAGUACGGUCGCAAGGCUAAAACUCAAAGGAAUUGACGGGGGCCCGCACAAGCAGCGGAGCGUGUGUGUUUAAUUCGAGGCUACACGAAGAACCUUACCUGGACUUGACAUGACACUAGUAGGGAAGCGAAAGCGGACCGACCCGCAAGGGAUGGUGUCACAGGUGCUGCAUGGCUGUCGUCAGCUCGUGCCGUGAUGGUGUUAGGUUAAGUCCUGUAACGAGCGCAACCCUCGGAGCCAGUUACAAGUGUCUGGCUCGACUGCCCGCGACAAGCGGGAGGAAGGUGGGGAUGAUGUCAAGUCAGCAUGGCCUUUAUGUCCAGGGCUACACACACGCUACAAUGGCCGGUACAAUGGGUCGCCAAGGUGCAAACCGGAGCUAAUCCAGUCAAAGCCGGUCACAGUUCGGAUUGUGGGCUGCAACCCGCCCACAUGAAGUUGGAGUUGCUAGUAACCGCGCGUCAGCCAUAGUGCGGUGAAUACGUUCCCGGGCCUUGUACACACCGCCCGUCACGUCAUGGGAGCUGGUCACGCCUGAAGCGAGCAAGCUAACCGCAAGGAGGCUACUCUCCAAGGCAGGGCUGGUGACUGGGACG